rnacentral:rRNA from 1 species
AUGAAGAGUUUGAUCCUGGCUCAGGAUGAACGCUAGCUACAGGCUUAACACAUGCAAGUCGAGGGGCAGCAUAUUUAUAGCAAUAUAAAUGAUGGCGACCGGCGCACGGGUGAGUAACACGUAUCCAACCUCCCUUUUACUCGGGGAUAGCCUUUCGAAAGAAAGAUUAAUACCCGAUAGUAUAUGGUUUUCUCAUGAAGACUUUAUUAAAGAAUUUCGGUAAAAGAUGGGGAUGCGUUCCAUUAGGCAGUUGGCGGGGUAACGGCCCACCAAACCUACGAUGGAUAGGGGUUCUGAGAGGAAGGUCCCCCACAUUGGAACUGAGACACGGUCCAAACUCCUACGGGAGGCAGCAGUGAGGAAUAUUGGUCAAUGGGCGAGAGCCUGAACCAGCCAAGUAGCGUGAAGGAUGACUGCCCUAUGGGUUGUAAACUUCUUUUAUAAGGGAAUAAAGUGGAGUAUGUAUACUCCUUUGUAUGUACCUUACGAAUAAGGAUCGGCUAACUCCGUGCCAGCAGCCGCGGUAAUACGGAGGAUCCGAGCGUUAUCCGGAUUUAUUGGGUUUAAAGGGAGCGUAGGCGGAUGUUUAAGUCAGUUGUGAAAGUUUAAGGCUCAACCUUGAAAUUGCAGUUGAUACUGGAUAUCUUGAGUACAUUGAAUGUGGGCGGAAUUCGUGGUGUAGCGGUGAAAUGCUUAGAUAUCACGAAGAACUCCAAUUGCGAAGGCAGCUCACAGUAAUGUAACUGACGCUGAUGCUCGAAAGUGUGGGUAUCAAACAGGAUUAGAUACCCUGGUAGUCCACACAGUAAACGAUGAAUACUCGCUGUUUGCGAUAUACAGUAAGCGGCCAAGCGAAAGCGUUAAGUAUUCCACCUGGGGAGUACGCCGGCAACGGUGAAACUCAAAGGAAUUGACGGGGGCCCGCACAAGCGGAGGAACAUGUGGUUUAAUUCGAUGAUACGCGAGGAACCUUACCCGGGCUUGAAUUGCACUCGAAUAUGGUUGAAAGAUCAUAGCCGCAAGGCGAGUGUGAAGGUGCUGCAUGGUUGUCGUCAGCUCGUGCCGUGAGGUGUCGGCUUAAGUGCCAUAACGAGCGCAACCCUUAUUUCCAGUUACCAUCGGGUGAUGCCGGGGACUCUGGAAAGACUGCCGUCGUAAGAUGUGAGGAAGGUGGGGAUGACGUCAAAUCAGCACGGCCCUUACGUCCGGGGCUACACACGUGUUACAAUGGGUGGUACAGAAGGCAGCUACACGGCAACGUGAUGCUAAUCCCAAAAACCACUCUCAGUUCGGAUUGGAGUCUGCAACCCGACUCCAUGAAGCUGGAUUCGCUAGUAAUCGCGCAUCAGCCACGGCGCGGUGAAUACGUUCCCGGGCCUUGUACACACCGCCCGUCAAGCCAUGAAAGCCGGGGGUACCUGAAGUGCGUAACCGUAAGGAGCGCCCUAGGGUAAAACUGGUAAUUGGGGCUAAGUCGUAACAAGGUAGCCGUACCGGAAGGUGCGGCUGGAACACCUCCUU